rfam:Thelohanellus kitauei scaffold03856, whole genome shotgun sequence.
GGCCUCUUAGCUCAGUUGGUUAGAGCGUGGUGCUAAUAACGCCAAGGUCGUGGGUUCGACCCCCACAGAGGCCA